GGUCCUCCUCCCUUCAAUUGUGACAUCACAGUUGGUUGCUGUGGAAAUGAUUGUCCUGUGACAAAGGAUUGUGACUUAAGUAGAAGCAGCAAAUAUCUCUUAAGAAAUAAAGAUUCUGUGAUCCAACAAAUACCCUUGGUAAUAAAAGGCAGUCAAGGCAAUUCACCAUAAGGAAAGAGUGUACAAGACGUACAGAAACUGAUUCUUCACUGUAUGCCAUGGUUGGCUGACAGUAAGGUUAAAGUGGAGGUGGCUGAGGACUUCUCCCAUUAAAAGUUCAAGUUCUUCCUGAUGUUAACCACAAGAUGAUGCCGACAUCAACGAUUACUCUUUCAACGUAAAUAAAAACAAAGCAUAGAAUGGAAGAUUGUGUGUUUAUUUUAUGUCACAAAAGGAAGGCAAGCCUGGAAAUGCCAACCUCCCAUCAUAUUAAUUUUAAUGCCAGAUGCUCCAGCGUUCCCUGAUGUACAAAGCUGCUGGUUGAAGUGUGUUUUUAUGUUGUUAUAUGACCACAGGCACAAAACCCUGCAUGUCUGCGGCAGCCUUUUAUGAGCUCUUCCACAGACUCCCUGUGGGCCUUGGACUGCGGAGGUGGGCAUCGGCGUACACUCAGAAGACAAGACUCUGGGCAGCCGGCUUUGUGUCCAUAAUCCUGUGUGCGCCUAAGUAGUUCAUGAUGCAGGCCUAGCAGCUGUUGUAAUGUUUCAUCACAUUAAAAGCAAACUAUUUUUGCAAAUUAAAGCCUUCAGUAAGUUG
ensembl:lncRNA SEMA6A-AS1 SEMA6A antisense RNA 1